GAGUUCGGGUCUUAGGAGGUUAAUAUUAAAAUUACAUUGUGGCUGAAAGGUAGUUUUUAGUUGUUAUUACUUCCAUUUUUCUUAGUAUCACAGGUAACUUUUUAAAUGAAUAAUAUAUGUUUUUCCCAAGCCCCAAUUCACCAUGCAGGACAAAGGUAAGUCUGUACUUAAUGUCAACACAAAUAAGUAGAAAAGGUUUAAAAAUGAUGCAGUGAACUGACUGUAGUCUCUUGUUUUUACAUAAGGUAUAGCCUGUGGCUGAGGGAUCAGAGGUGGUUUACACUUUUUCUCUCCCAGAAUUCAGCACUUCAGACACUCAACGUCCAAGAUGGAGCUAACACCCCACCCAGAAGACAGCCUUACCCCGACCAACCCAAUGAGAAGGAUGGAUGACCAAGUGAAAAACUGGAGAGUGGUGCUGUGUUCCAACUAUGGAAGCUGAGAGUAGACAGAGCUGCACAGAGGACCAAAGAUCCACUCUCAGCACUUCAUACCUGACUGGCCACAGCACCACCCCUCCU